GUACUUGCGUCGGCAGCACAUAUACUAAAAUUGGAAAGAUACAGAGAAGAUUAACAUGGCCCCUGUGCAAGGAUGACACGCAAGUUCGUGAAGCAUUCCAUAUUUUU
rnacentral:snRNA from 1 species